rnacentral:tRNA from 1 species
GCUCCAGUGGUGCAAUUGGUUAGCACGUGGUCCUUAUAAUGCUGAGAUUGUGAGUUUGAGCCUCACCUGGAGCA